UACGUAGGGUGCAAGCAUUAAUCGGAUUUAUUGGGCGUAAAGGGCGCGUAGGCUGGCAUGCCAGUCAGAUGUGAAAGCCCGGGGCUCAACCCCGGAACAGCAUUUGAAACUACAUUCCUAGAGGGUAGGCGGAGAAAACGGAAUUCCACAAGUAGCGGUGAAAUGCGUAGAUAUGUGGAAGAACACCAGUGGCGAAGGCGGUUUUCUAGCUUAUACCUGACGCUGAGGCGCGAAAGCAAGGGGAGCAAACAGG
rnacentral:rRNA from 1 species